AAUAUACUCCCAUUGUUCGGAAUUACUUGUCGCAGAAAUGGAUGUAUCUAGACGUAUUUUAGUUCUAGAUACAUCCAUUUUCGUGACAAGUAAUUCCGAAUGGAGGGAGUAUUAA
rfam:Triticum aestivum genome assembly, contig: Triticum_aestivum_CS42_TGACv1_scaffold_577584_7BL